AACGAACGCUGGCGGCAUGCCUAACACAUGCAAGUCGAACGAGACCUUCGGGUCUAGUGGCGCACGGGUGCGUAACGCGUGGGAACCUGCCCUUGGGUUCGGAAUAACUCCCCGAAAGGGGUGCUAAUACCGGAUCAUGUCUUCGGACCAAAGAUUUAUCGCCUUUGGAUGGGCCCGCGUUGGAUUGGCUAGUUGGUAGGGUAAAAGCCUACCAAGGCGACGAUCCAUAGCUGGUCUGAGAGGAUGAUCAGCCACACUGGGACUGAGACACGGCCCAGACUCCUACGGGAGGCAGCAGUGGGGAAUAUUGGACAAAGGGCGAAAGCCUGAUCCAGCAAUGCCGCGUGAGUGAUGAAGGCCUUAGGGUUGUAAAGCUCUUUUACCCGGGAUGAUAAUGACAGUACCGGGAGAAUAAGCACCGGCUAACUCCGUG
rnacentral:rRNA from 1 species